rnacentral:rRNA from 1 species
GACGAACGCUGGCGGCGUGCUUAACACAUGCAAGUCGAACGGAAAGGCCCCUUUGGGGGUACUCGAGUGGCGAACGGGUGAGUAACACGUGAGUAACCUGCCCUUGACUUCGGGAUAACUUCAGUAAACUGGGGCUAAUACCGGAUAGGAAUCCUUGCUUCAUGGAGGGGGUUGGAAAGCUUCGGUGGUUUUGGGGGGACGGGCGGCUUAUUAGCUUGUUGGUGGGGUGGUGGCUUACCAAGGCUUUGACGGGUAGCCGGCCGGAGUGGGCGAGCGGCCACAUUGGGGCUGAGAUACGGCCCAGACUCCUACGGGAGGCAGCAGUGGGGAAUAUUGCACCAUGGGCGGGAGCCUGAUGCAGCAACGCCGCGUGCGGGAUGACGGCCUUCGGGUUGUAAACCGCUUUCAGCAGGGGCGAAGCUUGUGGUGACGGUACCUGCAGAAGAAGCACCGGCUAACUACGUG